GGGCUGUAUGAUCGACAAUAUUCUCAAGAAUGCAUUACAAAUGCUAUGAACUGGUGAGAAUUUUACUGGAGCAGUUGCAAAGAUCAACAAACAAAAUCCAUCUGUUUCCAAUACCCAAUUCAGUGAAGCAUUUGUGCGGGUUCGAAGUGGAUCACAAAAUCAAAUUGAUAAUAUUCAAGUUGGAUGGAUGCAUUACAAGGUGACAAUUACACUCAAACUUUUGCCUCAUGGAGUGCAGGAAAGAAAGGUUGCUAUAAUAUGCUUUGCACUGGUUCUGUGCAAGUUAACAAGGCUAUCCCUCUUGGUUUUAUUCUUCACAAUAUUUCUGUCUAUGGAGGGCAGAAAUUUGAUUUCGGAUAUUUUAUAUCUCAGGAUCUAGAUACAGGGAAUUGGUGACUUCAACAUGGUGAUUACUAUGAGCAGAACAUUGGAUACUGGCCAAAGUCCUUGUUUUCAAGUUUAUCAAACGCUGCUACGCAGCUUACAUGGGGAGGAGGCGUUUUUAGUAGUAAUAAUGCAGGUAAUCCUCCCAUGGGAAGCGGCCAUUUUGCUGAAGAAGGAAUGAAAAAGCAGCUUAUAUCCGAGAGAUUCUUGCUGAAGAAUCUGGUCAUGGAGGAUCUCUUGACCCAGGGCGUCUCCAAGACGUCGCAGAUGAUCCCAAGUGUUACAGCAUUGGUCCUAUUCCAGGAGAGUAUCAUGGCCUUCUUUAUGGGGGUCCAGGAGGUGAUUGUCGAAACUAAUUCAAUUUGGAUAUAACAGCCUUGUACUCCUGAUUCGGGAUAUAUAUGCUUCUAUAUAUGAAAUGAACAAUUUCAGUGGAUGGUGGCAUGAAUUUUAAUUCCAUUUAUAUAUGUCUCUGACUGAUUGAACUUGGGAUUUGGUUCCAUAUAUGAACUCACAUCUUCAUUCC